rnacentral:tRNA from 1 species
GUCAGGAUGGCGAUUGGUCUACCUGACUCAACUUCUGGGCCUGGUGAGAGGGCGUGGGUUCAAAUCCCACUUCUGACU